ACCAGAAAAAGUACAGGAGAAGGAGAAGGAGAAGAAUAAAAGCAGCUCCUCGACUCUGAACACUUUGUCUGGUUUGGUUGCAGGUUGCUGCUGUAUCUCCCUGCAGCAGAAGAGGUUUAUUUAAACCAGGUUUAGCAGCAGAGCUCGUUAGAGAGGGUAGUUUAGUUGGUUAGUUGUUCAGCUGAAGGUUACUCGCUGUGACUGAGAUGUUACUGAGUCUGCGCUCAGGUUAGACUGAAAGCACGAGCUCACUGGCUGUGUUCACAUGCGCCUCCAAUUCCGAGUAAAGUCUAUACUCGAGUUUCAGCCAUAUUCCGAAUGCGAUGUUUAUAUGUGUACAGGCAUCGGAAUAUUCCUGUAUACAUGGUUGUUGCUGUCAGAAAACGACGAUGGCGUGUGGAAGGACUGCAGCUUUUCUGGGCCUUGAAAUCCACAACUUAAAUACAAGAGCCAUUCCAGAAGUGACGUAAAAGCAAACCGUCACACACACAGUGCCAUGCUGAUGAACUGAAAGCGGUGGCGGUGGUGGGUAUGGCAUUGGACUACUGAUCAGAAGGUUGUGAGUUUGAAUCCCAGCAUCGCCACACUUCCACCCCCGCCUUGGCUGUGUGUCCGUCCCACCCCCCAAACCAAACGCCUCGACUGUAAGUCACUCUGGAGAAAAUGCAUCAGCCAAUCUGGAUAAAUGUAAAUGAAUUGUUAGUGACACUGGGAAGACUUUCAGUAAAGCUCUGGAAGUGUGUGUGGAACGAGAAGGCAAUACACUUCACAUUUUGCUUAAUAUUACCACAUUUAAGAUGUUUUUGAAUGAUGUCAUGACUUACUAACAUGACUUUGCUUUAUUUCAAAAGGAAUUCAGAUUGGUUUGAAAAUAACACAGCUGACUUGUGUGUUUUCUGCAGUUUUAUUGUCCAGGUGUUGUGAUGCAGCAGUACAUGACCAUGGAUUGGCCAGCUGUGCAAGCAUGUCUUCCACUUAGCCGUUGUUACUCCACCAGCAAACAAUUUUUGAAGAGGUUUUCAUGCUGAACAGGUUGGAUAUUAAGAAUUGUGUAUUUUUUUAAAUCCAUUUUUUGAUUACCAGUUUGCAAAACUAGAGAGCUAGUGGCUACAUUUUUGGUGCGACCUUCCUCCUCCUCCAUGUUUUUCAGUUACAGUGCUUUCUCCUAGCAGACUGCUCAGAUGGAUAACGGUACUGUUGGCUUUGGACUGAUUUAAGACUUUUGCUACAUAGCAAUAAGAAAUUUUUAAUGUUUUUGUCUUUUUUUUUUUUUUUUUUUUAAACAUUAAUCCUCACCACAUUGGACUUAACAUUAUCUCUGUAUAACCAUAACAAAAUGAGCUAUUUGAUUGAUCCAGUGCUAAAAUCUCUCAAUUCCCAUUACAUGAUGUAAAAAGUUGGUCAGAAGAAGCAGCCUGCUUUAGAGCCUACAUGGUCAAUUUGGUUUAAACAUAGUGGCAGAAAACAUUGAAUUUUUUUUUAUUAUUAUUAUUUUAAAUGUCAUUUUCCCAUCUGAUAUUAAGGUUGGUUUGAAAGUGAUAUUAUCCUGCUUUAUUUGUAAUGGAUUACUGCAAUUAUUUGCUGAAUAAAAAUUUUCAAAAUGCAAAUAACUGGUCUCAUUUCAAUUUGAAACAGUAGUUUGGAGUAAUGCAUUCACUACAAAGUACAUCUAACAGCAGAUGCUAUUCCACAGGAUUAUUAUACUGACAUUAGAUACAAUUGAGUUGACAGCACAUUAUGGUAAGUGUCAAGCUCAUUAGCUAUUCAUAGCAUCAGUCAAAAUAAUGGGUUGUGUGUUUAAUGCCCUUAAUUGCACUAAUACUGUAUGUUUCAAAUAGCUAUUAGUGCCCUAAUCCAGCUGCUGUGACGCAAAUGAGCACGCUCACAGAUGUAUAAAUAGGCUAGAAAGGAUGAUGCACUGACUGACAGAGUAGCUUUUGUUUUGGCACUGCUAAAAUACUUCAGAAGAAGAAAAGACUGUGAAUGAAUGUUUUGUCCAUGAUUAGAACUGGCUAAUAAACCAAAUCAGGUUUCCAAAUGCGUCUUGGAACAAUGUCCUGAGUUGAGCCAAGUUAAAGAGGGUUGAGUUGUGAUGAAAUACAAGUAACAU